rnacentral:rRNA from 1 species
UAGGGAAUCUUCGGCAAUGGGGGGAACCCUGACCGAGCAACGCCGCGUGAGUGAAGAAGGUUUUCGGAUCGUAAAGCUCUGUUGUUAAGGAAGAACGAGUGUGAGAAUGGAAAGUUCAUGCUGUGACGGUACUUAACCAGAAAGGGACGGCUAACUACGUGCCAGCAGCCGCGGUAAUACGUAGGUCCCGAGCGUUGUCCGGAUUUAUUGGGCGUAAAGCGAGCGCAGGCGGUUAGAAAAGUCUGAAGUGAAAGCCCCCGGCUCAACCGGGGAGGGUCAUUGGAAACUGGUUGACUUGAGUGCAGAAGAGGAGAGUGGAAUUCCAUGUGUAGCGGUGAAAUGCGUAGAUAUAUGGAGGAACACCAGUGGCGAAGGCGACUCUCUGGUCUGUAACUGACGCAGAGGCUCGAAAGCGUGGGUAGCAAACAGG